UUUCCGUAGGUGAACCUGCGGAAGGAUCAUUACAAAGUUCAUGCCCUCACGGGUAGAUCUCCCACCCUUGAAUAUUUAUACCUUAGUUGCUUUGGCAGGCCGUGGAAACACCAUGGGCUCCGGCUUAUGCGUGCCUGCCAGAGGAAACAAACUCUGUUUUUAGUGAUGUCUGAGUACUAUAUAAUAGUUAAAACUUUCAACAACGGAUCUCUUGGUUCUG
rnacentral:misc_RNA from 1 species